AAAGAUUUAAGUUAAGCUAAACUGAUAGCCUUCAAAGUUAUAAAUAGGGUAAACUCUCUAAUCUUUA
rnacentral:tRNA from 1 species